AGGAUAAAUUGUGCAAUAAAGGAUUAUCCCUACUGACGAAAACACCAUUUUCGACCAUUGGCGCGCCUUUUGUCUGCAUAAAAGUAAGGUAGCACCUUCAUUUAAGUGUCUACAUGAUGUUUUUGCUCUUAUUUCGAUCAAUGAAUAAACGAGAAAA
rnacentral:sRNA from 1 species